rnacentral:rRNA from 1 species
AAUGAACGCUGGCGGCAUGCCUAACACAUGCAAGUCGAACGAUGCUUUCGGGCAUAGUGGCGCACGGGUGCGUAACGCGUGGGAAUCCACCCCUGGGUUCGGAAUAACAGUUGGAAACGACUGCUAAUACCGGAUGAUGACGUAAGUCCAAAGAUUUAUCGCCCAGGGACGAGCCCGCGUAGGAUUAGCUAGUUGGUGGGGUAAAGGCCUACCAAGGCGACGAUCCUUAGCUGGUCUGAGAGGAUGAUCAGCCACACUGGGACUGAGACACGGCCCAGACUCCUACGGGAGGCAGCAGUGGGGAAUAUUGGACAAUGGGCGAAAGCCUGAUCCAGCAAUGCCGCGUGAGUGAUGAAGGCCUUAGGGUUGUAAAGCUCUUUUACCCGGGAUGAUAGUGACAGUACCGGGAGAAUAAGCCCCGGCUAACUCCGUGCCAGCCGCCGCAGUAA